rnacentral:rRNA from 1 species
GACGAGGGGUCCUAGCGUUGUUCGGAAUCAUUGGGCGUAAAGCGUGUGCAGGUGGCUCUGUAAGUUGGAUGUGAAAGCCCCGAGCUUAACUCGGGAAGUGCAUCCAAAACUACAAAGCUAGAGUAUGGAAGAGGGUCGUGGAAUUCCAGGUGUAGUGGUGAAAUACGUAGAUAUCUGGAGGAACACCGGUGGCGAAGGCGGCGACCUGGUCCUAUACUGACACUCAUACACGAAAGCGUGGGUAGCAAAC